GGGGAGUAGUUUGUUACUUUGCCGGCGAGUGGCGGACGGGUGAGUAAUGCCUGGCGAGCUGCCCAAUCGAGGGGGAUACCAGUUGGAAACGACUGCUAAUACCGCAUACCCCCUGAGGGGGAAAGGUGGGGAUCUUCGGACCUAUCGCGAUUGGAUGCACCCAGGUGGGAUUAGCUAGUUGGUGAGGUAACGGCUCACCAAGGCGACAAUCUCUAGCUGGUCUGAGAGGAUGACCAGCCACACUGGAACUGAAACACGGUCCAAACUCCUACGGGAGGCAGCAGUGGGGAAUAUUGCACAAUGGGGGAAACCCUGAUGCAGCCAUGCCGCGUGUGUGAAGAAGGCCUUCGGGUUGUAAAGCACUUUCAGUCAGGAGGAAAGGUGGCUAGCUAAUAUCUAGU
rnacentral:rRNA from 1 species